GUUCGUUGUGUUCCUUUUCCUCCUCCCCAUACCCUCACGCUAUUUUUCUUUUUUUUUUUUUGUGUUUCUUUUUCUCUCCUCCUUUUUUCUUCUUGUAAUCGCAUCGAUCUAUUGGUUCGCUAUUUCCCUUUCAAUAUAUCAAAUUCGUUAUCGGUAAGCCCCUUAAAUUCUCUAUCAUCAAUCCUUCUGCCGUUUAAUUUCCCCCUUUUGCUCUUUCAAUUUUGACCGUCCUUAAUUUUUAGGGUUUCGUUUCUAAUCCCUUCUGUACCCUCAUAUUUUCGUUUCUAGCCAUCGUAUCUCUCGUUUACUUUGUUAUUCGUUAUCGAAUUGUCGUCGGAUCUUACUUCAUUCGUGUCUAGGGUUUGUGCUUGUUUUCUUCGAAUCUGAGAUUUGGGGAUUCGUUUUCGUAUUGGGUUUAGGGUUCUAUAAAAUACACAAAAAAAUCUUCUGCUGGUAUUGGAGGGGAUUAGGUUUUUUUUCUUAGUUGGAUUUAUAGUUUGUAUAUGGCGGCUGGUAGGCAUGGCGGCUAUCGUGACAACGAGUUUAGGGACCGUGAGUCGAAUUUGGAUGUUUCAAGGCGCGGUUUCGCGAAUUCGAAGGAAGAUUACGACCGGGUUAGGAAUGGAGGCCGUGACGUUGUGAGGGGUGGGAGCAGGGAUGCAAGAGAUAGGAUUAGGGUUAGGCAGAAGGAUAUUAGGGAGAGAGAAGCUUCCAAUGGCGGUCACCGGUCAUCUUCUAGUAGGAGUGAUUCUGGCAGCAGCGGAGGUGGUGGUAGUGAUGGUGGCGGGCUUGGGCCCCGACGGUGUGGCUUUUCUGCCAAGACCAUGGAUAAGGAGCCUGGUGAACUUUCCAGUGAGAGUGGCUCUGAUGGUGCUAUUGAACCAGAGUCAAUGAUGAAAGACAGCGAGGUUGCGAAUGUUGAACAGAAUAGGACUCGAUCCCCGCCCCCGCCAGAGAAGAAAAGGAAGUUUUCACCGAUUGUGUGGGAUCAGGAUGACAAGGAAGUGAGCGAGCCAUCUAAAACCAAAUCAAAGGUUUCCACUGCUCCAGUGACUGCUCUUCCACCUCCGCCUCCACUGCCAAAAUCAUUUGUGCGGUCACCUAAUGUUCCAUAUGGUGGAGUUGAGAUACAUCCUGUCAAAAAGAGUGAAACUAAGGAUGUUGAAUUACCGGAAGCUACUAGGGCCACUAUGCCUUCUCCAGGAUCGCAUUCCAUUUCUCCAAAACAGGCUUGGCAUAAUGAUCGUGAAGCUGAGCAACAAGAAGGUGAGGAUUAUGUUCCUAGUCAUAAUAUAUCAUCUUCCAGAUGGGCAGCUGUAGAUAACUCUCCCGGUGAUGAGGGUGAAAUCAUCGAUGAUGAAGAAUUGCCUAGGAGGAAGAGGAGACUGUCUCCUGAGUUAUUGGAUACAAAACUACGGAACAAACUAUUAAGCCCAGUGGAAUCUAAAAAAGAAGGAUUUGAUGGUGGCAGAGCUAAAUCAUCUGAAUCAGAUGAACGAGGUAGCCAUGGGAGAACGUCCAGUGGGGAUGAUCAUCCUGGAACUGCGUCUGAGAAGGAUGACUACAUGGAGAUUGAUGCUCAAGGUGGAAAAAGUGAUACUAGUAUUAAUCAUUUGGAGACGGAUUCUGAGGACGAGGAUGAUAGGAGGGAGACUCCGGAACCUCCAGCGACACCACAAAGAAUGGUCAACAUGCUUCAGGGUUGUAGAAGUGUUGAUGAGUUUGAGAGACUUAACAAGAUAGAUGAAGGAACUUACGGUGUUGUAUAUAGGGCCAGAGAUAAGAAGACUGGAGAAAUUGUAGCAUUGAAGAAAGUCAAGAUGGAGAAGGAAAGAGAAGGAUUUCCACUGACUUCACUUAGGGAAAUAAACAUUCUUCUUUCUUUCCACCACCCAUCCAUAGUUGAUGUUAAGGAAGUAGUGGUAGGGAGUAGCCUUGAUAGUAUUUUCAUGGUUAUGGAAUACAUGGAGCAUGAUCUUAAAGGUCUGAUGGAAGCAAUGAAGCAACCAUUUAGCCAGAGUGAAGUAAAGUGCUUAAUGAUCCAGCUUUUAGAAGGUGUUAAGUAUCUUCACGAUAAUUGGGUGCUUCAUAGGGAUUUAAAAACUUCUAACCUCCUUUUGAAUAAUAGAGGUGAACUAAAAAUAUGUGAUUUUGGUUUGGCUCGACAGUAUGGGAGUCCAUUGAAACCAUACACACAUCUCGUGGUUACUCUUUGGUACAGGGCACCUGAACUUCUUCUAGGGUCAAAACAAUAUUCAACAGCCAUUGACAUGUGGUCUCUAGGUUGUAUCAUGGCGGAACUUUUGUCCAAAGAACCACUAUUCAAUGGGAAAACAGAAUUUGAUCAGCUUGAUAAGAUUUUUAAGAUUCUUGGCACACCAAACGAAACAAUUUGGCCUGGGUUCUCAAAAUUACCUGGAGUCAAGGUCAAUUUUGUUAAGCACCAGCUUCCAACUUUGGGUGGUUCUGGUAUAACCUCCUGCGCAAAAAGUUUCCUGCCACUUCGUUCACUGGUUCCCCAGUCCUUUCUGAUGCUGGAUUUGAUUUGUUGAACAAGCUUCUUACUUAUGACCCUGAAAAGCGGAUCACGGCUGAAGCUGCUCUCAAUCAUGAAUGGUUCCAUGAAGUUCCUCUUCCCAAGAGCAAAGAAUUUAUGCCAACCUUUCCUGCUCAACAUGCUCAAGACAGGCGGAUGCGGAGAGUAUUAAAGAGUCCGGAUCCUUUAGAGGAGCAGCGCCGUAAGGAGUUGCAGCAGGGUGAAUCAGGCACAGGUGGAAUUUUUGGCUAGUAAUCGUGAACUCUAAACUUGUCACAACAGUCAUUCUAACUCACACAACUGAAAUGUUUGCAUGUAUGAGGUGAGAGUAUGAACUGAAAGGAAGUUGCAACCAUUGUUUGUUAGACGAUCACUUGUGCUGUUUUUUAGCAGGGAUUUGUUGGGUUGUGAAGAGAUUUAUUCAUUUUGCCAGAUUAAAUUCAGGUUAACCUUCAUGCUUGGUCAUUAUAUACAAAUGCAUCUGGGACGCUGCUUUCAGCUUAAGGCGGUUGGUGUGAAGUGGAUGAUGGCUUUCUGUGCAUUUCAUUGAAGAAAUUGACAGUGACUUAGUGCCUUAAAAGUAUCAAAGCAAGCAUGUUGAGGACGUUACCAGUGUAUCCUAAAGUAUAAAACUCACUUAGUUGUUGCUUCAGGCUCUCUAGAGCUGGGAGAGAUGGGUUUGCUUGGAGUUGCAAAGCAUCCACUUCCCACUCAACACCAUUAACUGGAUCCAAGGUUUAGUAAGCAAGAGCUGUGUAGCCUUUUGUUACUCUUCUUACCGUUGCCAUUAAGCAGAAUUAGACUGUCGAUAUUUGCUUUGCACAUUCUCCCGUGUGCUUUCCUGCAUCUGACUUUGAGAGUUGGGUUAGGAUAUAACCACGUUACUCGUCAAUCCAAAUAGCGGUGCCCUGAACAUUGCCAAAUUGUUGUGAUGGUGAUGAUGCCUGCAGAGGCUGUUCAGCAUAUCGAUGAGUUCUGUUGUCUCUUCUCUUAACUGCUUUAUCUGUGUUCAAUUUUCUAUUUCGGAGUUCAUGACGGUUUUAUGCUUUUUGCAUAUACUAUGCAUGUCAAUCGUCAAAAGGAAGGGUGUCAACGAGCACACGUGUGGACUGAAGGAGCUAAUGAAUUAUGGGGAAGCACAAAUAAAGGGUGUAUUAAAAACAGGAGGAAAUGCAAAUAUUUGUAGAGUAACCGAGUUAUUUUAUCUUUUGAACACUUGCAGUUUUUGUUUCCCAACUCUAUACUCCAAGGUGCUGGCAGCGUUAACUUUGAGAUAUAAGAUAACAUGAGUAAAUAGUCACUUUGACAAAAUAGAGUUUAACAUUUUCUUUCGACAAAAUGAACCCUAAAUAUAUAUUCGGUUUGACAAAUUGAUCCCAACGUAUAAUUAACAGUUAAUUUAUCUACUCAAUCAUUAAAUUUUUAUAAAAUUAUUACAUUGUUCUUACUUUUUAUUAUAAAAUUACAAAUAUCUUCAGCAUUACACUACUUUGUCAAACCAUCAUCUUACCUCCACCUUUAUCAACAAUGAUAACCCACAAAUUAACCAUCACUACAAAAGAUUAACACAAACUAAUUUAAUAUGAUAUUCUGAAGCAGAGGGCUAACAUUCACUCACCCACAUCAUCAUUUCCAAUGUCUCUUCCGUUCGCCUCGCCAUUGGUGUCAAUGUACAUUUUUUUAGAUUUUAAAAAAUGGAGGUCGAAGUGUACUAUGUUCCCAUUCAUGAACUUGCCAAUUUAUAGUUGUUGCUAUCGAUUUGCUUUGAUCGCUUGGUUAUUAGGAAAAAAAUUCAUAUUUAUUUUUAUGGUGGCAGAUGAAAUGCAAGUCCUCUUGUGGUGGUUGUGGUUGGCCAUAAGAGAGGAAGAGGAGGCCAUAGCAUGGCGGUGGAAGAAAAAGAGGAAAUGGGUUUGCUAACAAGAAUUCAAAUUGAGGUACUCUACUUAAAGUGUUUGGAGGUUGUGCACAAAAGAUUGGAAGUUGAGAAAAUAGCAUCACAGAGAGAACAGGAGAGUUUCACUGGUAUGGGUUUUUGAUGACAAAUACUGACUGCAAUGGAAAUAUGAUGAGGUGGUGAGUGGUGACAUAGAAGAGAGAGAAUAUAGAAUAAAUUAACAAUUUUAUAAAAAAUUAACGGUUAAGUUAAUUAAUGAUUGACUUAAUGUUAAAGUCACUUUGAGAUAA